rnacentral:rRNA from 1 species
ACGUAUGGGGCAAGCGUUGUUCGGAAUUAUUGGGCGUAAAGGGCGUCUAGGCGGGGGAUUAAGUUAGAUGUGAAAGCUAUGGGCUCAACCCAUAAACUGCAUCUAAGACUGGUUCUCUUGAGUCCGGGAGAGGAGAGCGGAAUUCCAGGUGUAGCGGUGAAAUGCGUAGAUAUCAGGAGGAACACCGGUGGCGAAGGCGACUUUCUGGCCUAGUACUGACGCUGAGACGCGAAAGCGUGGGGAGCGAACAG